rnacentral:piRNA from 1 species
GUCUGCGUGUGAUUGGUUGGAAG